UACGGGGGGGGCAAGCGUUGUUCGGAAUUACUGGGCGUAAAGCGUGCGCAGGCGGUAAUGUAAGACAGAUGUGAAAUCCCCGGGCUCAACCUGGGAACUGCAUUUGUGACUGCAUUGCUGGAGUGCGGCAGAGGGGGAUGGAAUUCCGCGUGUAGCAGUGAAAUGCGUAGAUAUGCGGAGGAACACCGAUGGCGAAGGCAAUCCCCUGGGCCUGCACUGACGCUCAUGCACGAAAGCGUGGGGAGCAAACAGG
rnacentral:rRNA from 1 species